UGGGGAAUAUUGGACAAUGGGCGCAAGCCUGAUCCAGCAAUGCCGCGUGAGUGAUGAAGGCCUUAGGGUUGUAAAGCUCUUUCGCACGCGACGAUGAUGACGGUAGCGUGAGAAGAAGCCCCGGCUAACUUCGUGCCAGCAGCCGCGGUAAUACGAAGGGGGCUAGCGUUGUUCGGAAUUACUGGGCGUAAAGGGCGCGUAGGCGGCCUGUUUAGUCAGAAGUGAAAGCCCCGGGCUCAACCUGGGAAUAGCUUUUGAUACUGGCAGGCUUGAGUUCCGGAGAGGAUGGUGGAAUUCCCAGUGUAGAGGUGAAAUUCGUAGAUAUUGGGAAGAACACCGGUGGCGAAGGCGGCCACCUGGACGGACACUGACGCUGAGGCGCGAAAGCGUGGGGAGCAAACA
rnacentral:rRNA from 1 species